ensembl:lncRNA
UUAGAAAGCACACGUUUUCCUCUUUCCACUCACUCCACGUUGCCUAAACCGCGGUUUCCUCUUCCCGGCGGCGCUGGGACUGAGGCAGCUGAGGCGCGCUCCGCUCCCGGGAACCUCGGGCCUUGGCGCGCCAUUUUCCGUCGCGCAGUUAGUUGCCGGGGAGUCCUGAGACCUUUUGAUCGGGUCCCUUUCGUCUCUAGGCCCCUCGGCGAUCUCCGAUCAGACUCACCCACCAGAGCACCGCCACAAAGGUCCGGGGAAGAAACCUCUCACCUCCCUGGAGUCUCAGCUCAGCGUUUGGGAAGGAACCGUUUAAAAACCCAGGAGCAGAAUAAUCUUGGGGAGAAGGGAAAAGCAGUUGUAACAUCCCCACGUGGCAAUAAAGAUGAAAACCUCGUGAAGUCCUGCUCGUCUCAUCAACAGGUGAUCGAAGGUGGGUAUGGCUGCUGCAUCUCCCUGGAGAAUCUUGUCACUUCAUCCUGGCAGCAGAACACUGCACUGCCACACGGUGCCAUGUGCCACCCCAACUGAGAAGAGGCUCUGCAGUAAAAAGGAGGCACGUGGAGUUGAAUAGCUGGAAGUAAUUUCCAUUUUAAUUUCCAUGCCUGUAUAACACAGUCUGUCACAUCAGUGUUGUCAUAUGUUCUUUGGCUGGCUUGGAAAGAGGAGGGAGCCUGAGGGGUGGGGCUGGCACUCCCGUUGCCAUUGGAGACAGAAUCUGGCUUUAGUUUUGUUGGAAGAGCAGUUCCAGUGGCUGUGAAUCCAGGCUGGGAGAAUGCUGGCAUCCCACCCUCUGGAGGGAGCCCUACUGGCGGAGUUUAAACGCGGGACUUCUGCCUGGGGGAAUCUUUUGAGUCUGAAAUAUUCAUAUUCUCGGGAAAAUAUUCAUAUUCUCGGUGGAAGAGGGCAGCUAUUCCAUAAAUCUGUAGAUGAGCAUCACUGAACCCUGUGUACUUUUCCCAAGUUAGGAAUGAGGUUAAACUGUUGGGGCGGGGGGUUUAACCGGUCUUUGGACUUGGCUGAAAGCGGGGAGCAGCAUUUCCCCUCCUCUUCCUUUGUAAACGUCGAGGAAAAUCCAGACUUGUUCUUUGAGCGCCCUCUGGUGGCAGUCAUCAAGAAUACUCCAGUUCUGUGGGUUUUGCGGGGAGUUAGGGACACCGAGGCUGCCUGGGCUUUCGGUAACAAGCAAUAGGAGAACAGAUGGUCUACCCUUUUAGUGGUGGGGCAAAGGGUCCGCUCCCUCCCUCUGCAAGUUGGCCGCCGUUCGGAAUCUGAGGAGUUGAAAUUCCUCCGGACGUCUGGCCCUGCUGAUGUGCACGUGUCCUGGGGUGCAGAGGACUGGGAAAUCUGCUCUGUGCUGCUUUGGCGCUCCUAUACUUGCUUACCCUUUUCUAGGUGGGCCUCAGUUUCCCAACCAGAUUGGCAGCUCCUCCAGCGCCAAGGUGGCACCUUAACCAUCUUUGAAGGGCGCCUCCGCUGCUGAUCCGAGUGCUUCCUGGAGGAACGCUAGAGCCGGGGCAGGUCACAAGGUGAACUGCACUGCGCGCCUCUGAGGCUGAUGCUGGGUGACCGACCGCGUCAGCUGCUUGCCUGCCUCCUGCGUGUGAAUUCUCAUAGGUCCUGACAGAUGGUGGCGGCUUUGACAGCUCGUCAGCUCCGUGAGGACGCUGGUCCCCACUCACUGCUCCUGGACCGCCAGCUCUGAUUCUGUGUGCCGGGCUUCUCCGCUAAUGCUUUAGGCUUGGAAGUGGGGACCUGUCUGGAGCAGCACGGCAGGAGUUCCAGGGCAGCCGUGGGGUUGGAACAAAGACCCGCGGCAGGAAUCACAGUGAGAAGUGCUCAAAUUCAACACGCAGACAUGACGCGCUGAAAGCUCAAGGAAAGCUCUAGAGAGCAGGGGGAGUACGGCUCCAAGAGCAUCGGACAUGAAAACACCAGACCCAGGUUGGAGGCCUGGUUCUGCGUCUCUGGGAGGCUCCCUGAACCCAGUAUCUGUAUAACUUUGGUGUACAUGUUUUCCAAAGACCCUUUGCCAGAUCCGAUAGUCUUUUCAAUAUACAUACGAUGUAUUUUAAAAUAGCUAGUGGUGUGUGUUCAAUGGCCUGGGGUUGUUUGCUACCACUUUCAUUGAUGAGAACUAGAAUCUGCAACUCAAGAAUUCUUGUCGUCGUCCUCAUUGGUGGGGCAUUGCCUGGACACCACUGCCCCCUUGUGGCAGCAAAUCUAAUUUUGUAGGUUGAUGAUAAGAAAUUCCACAAUUCGCAAAACCUUAUAAACUUGGAUAUAUAAAAGGGUUGAAGAAGGUCCCCAAAGCUUUAUUCAUCGCUGAAAGGGACAUAUUCUUGUAACAAGAUCAGAUGCCUUAGUCAUUCACCCCCUUAAUGCCUUGGCUUUACUUCAAGUUAGUAAUUUAGAAGUGAUCUUUAAGUGGGUUUACAGCCAGAUUACCUAAAUCCGCUCAUAAAUUGACUCACAGAUUAAAAUGUGCCAACUUCUGAGACUUGGUACGCUUCACCAGAGUGGAUUCAUUAAAAAGAGAAAUGACGCUAAGCCCUGGUGGCACUUGUAGGUAUUAAACACCCCAUUUGUGUGAAGACAACCUUUUCUUUCUUCUUUUUAUGGAGGUAAGAUUUACAAAAUGUAAAAUCAGCCACUUUAAAGUGAACCAUUCGGUGGAAUUUAUGAUGUUAUGUAACCGUCUAUUUUCUUUCAUCAUUCCCAAAGAAAACUCCUGUACCUAUGCAGUUAGUACCCAGUCCCCAGUUCCCAAUCCCCAGUUACCUGGAAACCACCAGUUUGCAUUGUGUCUCUGUGGAUUUACCUCAUUCUAGUAAAUGAAGUGGAAUCCUACUGUAUUUGUCCUUCUGUAUUUGGCUUUCACUGAGUGUAAGGUCUUUGAGGUUCAUACACGCCGUAGCAUGUAUCAGAACUUCAUUCCUUUUUAUGGCUGAAUAAUAUUCUAUUACAAAUCUAUCACUCAUCCACUGAUGGCCAUUUGAGUUGUUUUCACAUUUUGGCUCUUGUGAAUAGUGCUUCUUUGGACAAUCAUCUACAAAUUUGUUUUUGAGUCCCUGUUUUCAAUUCUUUGAGGGUAUAUAUCUAAGAGUGGAAUUUCUGGGUCAUAUAGUAAGUCUAUGCUUAACUCUUUUUUUUUUUUUUUUUGGUCUUUUUGCCAUUUCUUGGGCCGCUCUCGCGGCAUAUGGAGGUUCCCAGGCUAGGGGUCCAAUCAGAGCUGUAGUCACCGGCCUACACCAGAGCCACAGCAACGCGGAAUCCGAGCCACGUCUGCAACCUACACCACAGCUCACAGCAAAGCCAGAUCGUUAACCCACUGAGCAAGGGCAGGGACCAAACCCGAAACCUCAUGGUUCCUAGUCGGAUUCGUUAACCACUGAGCCACAACGGGAACUCCUGUUUAACUUUUUAAUAAACUGAGACUUCAGAAUGAUGUGUCA